AUGCCGAUGGAGCGCAACCCACCGCCGCUUGCGCGCAGCGCCUGGUGGUCGCCGGUGACAUCUUCUGCUCUUCUCCCAUGGUGGUGGCGAAGGGGAGAUGAUGUUUCUGGUGCUAGCUCUCUAAAUAAGCGCGUGGUCUUCGUGCCCCGGAUCUGGAGGAAGGCCAGCCGAUUCUCCCGGUUUCUUCAAGCCGUUGCAGUGAUGGAGCGGGAUCUUGGGAGGAGCGGUCAUCUGAAGAUGUCAGAUCGGGUUCGAGCUCAACAGCAGCAGCUAUUGCGGUGGGGGCGCUGGCGCCUGCUGUGGCGGUCGAUGGCCGGUCGUCGCCGUCAUUCUGCUGCUUCUUCUGGCCGAAGGGCGGCCAUCCCCAUUCCUCCCGGCCUUGUAGCCAUUUGGGAGGCAGAUAUUCGUUCCGGCGGUCGCCAUGGCUGGUUGCUAUGGCUCCCUCGUCGCCCCAAGUGGUCUCGUCCCCGGCGACGGCGAGGUGUAUCCGCUGAGAAUGAUAUGGACCAGAUCGCGUUUUUCAUCUUUAGGUUGAGUUCCUUCUUGCAAAAGUCCUGGGACUUGUUUGUCGUUUGUUGUUUCUUCAGGGUCCUUUGUGUAAGACGCUGUACUUUUCUUUAUCUGAAUAAAUAG
rnacentral:rRNA from 1 species